CCUAGAUAUAUAAAGUACCGCAAUUACCGCCAUAUUGGCGCCAAAACUAGCGGCAAAUUUAAAAAGGAGGCCAACAUUUCGCUGUUUCGGCUUUUUAAGCAGCUGGUCGGUCCGGCGCCAAUAUGGCCGACCAACAUUGACAGGCAAGCCGUAAAAUAAAAUAUUUAUUAAUUGUAAUAGAAUUACGUUUAUUAUCUACAGUUUACCUUCAUUUUAACGCCUAUAUAUGUUAAGAGGUUAUAAACGAAUGGUUUCCGUACAUGUGUUUUUCAUUUGUAUUAGCAUUUAAUUAUGUUACCUUUUAGCGCAAAGUACGCCAACAGAAUACUUAAUUCAGUCGAAACAAUUGGAAAAACUUUGUUUGUUGAUGAGAACGGGAUACCUAUACCAUAAGUAAACUUUCCCUAUUAUACCAGUUAUGCUGUAGUUAGUUUUGACAAAUAAGCAUGAUUUAACGAAAGUCUUUGGAACUAUGAAUAAGCUACAAACUUAAAUUUGAAGGCCGGCUUUUAUACGAGAAAAUUUUGAACCAUGGUUGAAACAAAUAAAUGUAAUAAUUAAAUUGAUAUGAUACAUACCUGCUAUUUUUGAAAUAUAUUAAUAUAUUGAUAGAAAGAUUGUUUCAAUUAG
rnacentral:lncRNA from 1 species